UUCUGUACAGAUCUGGCACGUUCUUGCUCGAACUCCCAGAUCUUUGUUUCGCCGGUGGCGGCCAGAAAGAGCCAGCGAGCUCUGGGCUCUCCCUUGCCCUCGGGCUGCCUCCAAAAAAGCAAAAACCCCAACCCUUCCAACUUUUCUCCAGUCAGUCCCUUCUCAGACCUCCCGGCCGCCUUUGCCGAAAAUCUAGACUCCCGUCUUGACCUUCAGGAUCCUGCUUCCAGGAUGGCAUUUACUAGACUGCGCCUAUCAAACAGGAUUCAGCCUCAGGUCUUCAAGAGUCAAGGUCUGGGGAAGAAGCAAGCCCCCAAUAACUGAAGAAGCAUUUGCCCCAAGCACCCUACACAAAGGGGGAAAAAGUUCUUUGGCAUUUUACAUUGCAUGUUGGAAGGAUACAAGCCGAUGGCUAAGAAACCAACAGUACAAUCCUGUGCUGAGUGAAUCCAGGCUGUACCAACUGAAAUCAAUGUGCUUAUAUUGAGGACUGUACAGAAAAGUGCUUAUUUAUUUAGGAUAUGAAGAGUAAAAAUUCAUGGGGGUGGAGCACUACAUCAAAGACUAUGGAGAUAAGGAUCAAUUCACACAUAUUCUGGAGUUCAUUGCCUCCCAGGUGUGUAUGAGUCUGCUUUGGAAUGAGACCGCAGUGCAUGGGGAGGGGUUGCUUAAGCCUUCCCUGGUGGCUUUUUCCUCAAGGCCAGGAGCUGCUAUUUGCCCCGCUGGGGAAUAUUACAUGUACCUUUCAGAAGAUCUAGCUUUCCCCACAGGAACAAUCAAUGGCUCUGGAGGCUGUUUCAGGUCAGGAAAGUGUUGUGUGUGUGUGUGCACGUGUGCGUGCAUGCAUGUGGGGCAUGGGGGUGGGCGGGCUGAAUCUACUCCUAUAGUCCCAAACUGGGCUUGCCUGCACACAUCUGGGAGGCAUUGAACUCUAGAAUAUGAUUCUGUAACAUGUGAUUCGGAAAGUCCAGCAGGAUGGCUUGCAUCUACCUCUGUAUCAAUACUUGUAAUUUGAAGAAUUUGAGAACACAUGAACACAUGAAGCUGCCUUACACUGAAUCAGACCAUCAAGGUCAAUAUUGUCUACUCUGACCAGGAGUAGUUCUCCAGGACUUCAGGUAGAGGUCUUUCACAUUGCCUGCUAUCUGAUCCUUUCAACUGGAAAUGCCAGGCAUUGAAGCUGGGAUCUUCUGCAUGCCAGUUUAAGUCAAUGCAAACAACCAGAUGGGAUAUCCAAUAAACAGAGUAAUAGGACAGUAGAAACCUGAAACCAUGCAGAAAUCUGGAACAAAACCAAAACAAAGCAUGACAUGUUGAACAGUGCUGGCAUUACAUACUAGUAUGGCAUAUUACAUACUAGGAUGGCAGUUACAUACUACGCACAAUAGUACAGUCCACAGUCCCUUUCCCAUCAUUAAAGCACAUUUCUGCACCAUUUGGUGAUAAUAUAAUCCUUUUUAGGGUUAUAAAAAUGACUUUCUGAAUAAUUCAGUUUUGCAUAGUUGGCAGAUAACCAGGACAGUGGGAGCCUUCCUGACUUCAUCAGGCAGCUGUUCUACAAGGUGGGGGCCACAACAGAGAAUGCACAUGUACAUCCAUUUGUUGAUCUUGUCCAUUAGCAGUUUUACACCUGUGCACCUGCAAAAAGCCCUGCUCAGAAGCUGUCAUGAUAGAGCUUAUGGAGAGAGGCAGUCCUGGGAACACAAAGGUCAAAGGCCAUGAAGGGCUUUGUAUGUAAUAGCCAAUAUCUUGUACUGAAUCCAGUAACUGGACAGCCAAUGGUGUCAGUGCAAAAUGACAGUAAUACACAUGCUCCAUCUGGCUUCCAAUAACAGCUGAGCUGCUUUGUGCCCAACUGGAGUCUCCCAAUUGACUUUGAAGGGAGACUUUUGUAGAUUGCAUUACAGUAGUGUUGAUCAAAGUGCCCAGGUAGGCCAAGUCAAGGUAGGGAGGCCAUCUUCCAGUCUAAACUGAGCUAGAAGAAAAAAAAUUUUUUUGCAGCUCCAUUAACUUGCUUCUUGAGCAGUAAGGCAGGAUCCAGUUAACUCCCACGCUCUUAGCACAUAUCUUCAAGACCUCUUUGAGCUUUGUCAAAGGUGGGAAGCAUGAUGUCUUCAAGACCUCUGCCUUCCCAACCAGAAUUAGCUCUACCUUGUAUGCUUUUAGUUUCAUUUUGUUCACUCUUAAGCAGAUUCCACAUGGGCCAAAAACAGUGGUGUGAAAACAGUGUAAACCCUUCUACACCAUUUUAAACCCUUUUACACUAUUUUCACACUGCUUUUUUUGGCCCAAGCAGAAUCUGCCUUAGCCAUUUAACCACAGAAGACAGGUAGCAAUUUGGAGAACUGAGUGUUGUUAACAUAUUGGUAACAGCCAUCCCCCAAACAACAACUGAUUUGUCCUAAGGGCUUUAUGGUUAAGCAUAUGGUUGAGGACUGCAAUGGUGAAAUGGAUCAGCUGCCCUCCCCUCCCCUCCCCUCCCCUCCCUUCUCCCUUCUCCCUUCCCUUGCUCCAUUUCCCUCUCUCUCAUAUUCCUUUCCCCCCUUCUACUUGGUUCUUUUAUUCUCCCGCUGGGGGACCUGGGAGUUUUCAGGUCACCACAGGUCUCCAAGUCUAUCUUACCACCAAGGAUUCUUUUCUUUAUUCAUUACAUGUAGAUAAGAUGCCAUUUUAUUAAGUUAAACUGAAAUUAUGGUUUUACAUUUAAUGUUUUAACUUGACAUAGAUAUUGACACUGCAUUGUAAAUUAUUGUUGGAAGCCACCCUGAGCCCAGUCUAGCCAGGGGAGGGCAGGGAACACAUGGAAUAAAAUUAAAACAAAUACAAUGUUUACCUAGAGGCUGAAUGUAUAAAAUAUCUAAUUGACAUGAAACAAACAUGCAUUUUAUAAGGUCAAAAUGUAACAUAUUUUCAAGUUGCUGAUCUUGAGUAGGUUUGAUGCUGGCCUCCAAAUGCCAACUUAAGGAAACAAAGUUUUCAAAACAUUUUUUGGGAUUGUUGCCAAUGUGGUAAAGUUUCAUAGCUUUGGGCAGGUGUUGAGGAUCUAUUUCUACAUGCCUUGAUGGUAGUGUUAAGAAUGCACAUUUGUUUAAUCUCAGUCAGUAUUAGAGAUCAUGAUGAACAUGCAUGAAGCUGUCUUAUACUGACUCAGACCAUUGGUCCGUCUAAGCCAGUAUUGUCAACUCAGAUGUCUUUCACAUCAUCUAUUGUGUGGUCCUUUAAAAAAAUAAUUAAAAAACUGGGAAUGCUAGGAAUUGAACUUUUGCAUGUAAAGCAGAGGUUCUUCCACUGAGACAUAAGCCCCAUGAUAGGGCAGAAGAGGGCAUCAAUAGCAGGAGUUUGUGUUGGAGUGCUUUAGUAUGAACUGAAAUUUCUUAGUCUGUUAAUUCCACUCAAGAAAAGAUUACAUCAGUGAAGGUUAAAAACAGAAAGGAACCUCAUCUAGCUCCCAAACAACCAAAUUCACCCCAUAGUUAGGCAUUGAGGUGACUGAUGCUUGACCAAGCAGAUGGUAGGGCUGUGCAAUGUUUUUUACAUGUCAUAUUGUUUUUAAAUUUAAAAAACCAGCAUGUCCAGGUUUUUUAAAAUGCGAUUAUUUAAAAUUUUAGCCUUUUUUGCACAUUCUCUCAUGUUUGUUUUUUCCAUUGGUUUCAGCCAGACACCCAUCUAGUUAGCCUAUUGCCUUUGCUUUUCAUCCAGUUACAGUGCCAUUUUUCAGAGAUGUGUACUCCUUACAGAGUGGUGCACGGGAGGCAUUUGGCAUACCAAGAAAACCUUUGUUUAUUGUUCAGAUUGAGAGUACGUCUUUCCUUGGUGGAACGCAAAUACUGAGUUAUGUAGUGAUGACUGGAAAUUGUUUUAAGUGUGAGCCCACUGUAAUCAGUGUCUUUCUCUCACACAGACGACCUGAUUACUAAUGGGUGCACUAUGCGAUAAUUCACUAUGUGCACUAAACACAGUAAUGUCCAAGACAGUAAGACUAAUUAAUACUAACAGACGGAAUACAGUGAGACUAACUGAUACUAACAGAUAGAAUAUGGAAAGACUAACAGAUGGACUAUAGAAUUAACAGACACAUUAAGGAUCAAUUCACACAUAAUAAAAUGCUUGUGUUUCCCAUGGGUUCUGUUAAUCUGGACUUCUGUGCUCAGAACUUAAUAUAUUUGGUUUGGGAUUAUAGCUUGUGGGGAGAGAGGGAUUCAGUCUCCUCCAAGCAUUUUCCUGACCCAAAAUGGCCAUGAGGAGUCACUGCUUUAUUGGAGAAAUUUACAAGUACUGAUGGGGUACACAUAUAUUUUGCUAAAGGACAAAUAGUAGCUCCCAGUGAUCGUAUCAGUUAAGGAAACAAUCUGUGGGGAAAAGGCUUAAAUCCUCUCACACUAUGUCUUGCUGUCCCAAUCCAAAUCCAGCCUGUGCGUGCCUGAAAAUUAUGAUGCUCUCAGAUCACGUUUGCUGGUGGACUUUAUAAAUGUGUGCAUUGGCCCAAACAGAAUUAGAGAAAAAUCUCACCAGCUACACCGCAACACUCUCUCACACACUAGCAAACAUAGCAAAUCAAAUACAUUAUCACACAAGUCAGUCACACAGUAGGACCAUAACUAUGCAAUUUGCAAAGCACUAGAAACAACCUGAAAAUGCUUGGUAUCAAAGAGCACUCAGACAAAAAGAAGCUGGCAGGGGGUGGAAAGUGACUGCCACUUAUGUAGUAUCAAACAAACCUUCUUCAAGACAAUGGUCAUUGGUGAAGAAACUGGAAAGUCCUAUCUAUUAGGGAAAAUAUUUUAUGUUGCAACAUCUAUUUGCCUGUGAUGAUUGGAAAAGAUUCCUCUCAGUUUCAUUAACUUCUGACUUUACCAUGCCCCAGUGUUAGAUCUGUGCUACAACUCUCUAAACAAGACAAGCAAAUGCAAGAAUUAACAGAAAAAAAUAAAAUGUUAUUAGUUUUCCUAUUUUUGUAUUAUAACAACAGCAACAAUUAAUGGCUUUUACUUCAUUUUGACAAUGAAUGAAUGCCUAUCUCUUUUGAAUAGGGUGAAAAGGCAGAGCAAAUGUAAAUCUGAAUGAAGUAAGGGGAGUUGAAGUGAAAUUAAAUAUUCCAUUGUGAGUUUAGAAUAUUUAGAAAAUUUCCUCUAUCUUCUAGGAACCUGAGCAUCUUCCUAUCCUGGGAAGAGAUGAGAGAACAUGCACAUUUCCAGAUGGGGCACAUAUUCAGGGUCAGAUGAGAUACAAUUGUGGGAAUAGGAAGCACAAUGUGCUUGUCUUUCCUCUCUCUGGACCUCUUUAGAACACCCAUAGCCAUCCUCAGAGCAUCUUGGGUCCAUCUGUAAAGUAACAGCAGGAUCUCUGUUAGUAAGAAAGACUCCUCCAGGCCACCUGCACCUACAGUAACUUGCAAAAUGUGAUAGCUGUGAGUAUUAAUGUGGAGGAAUUGUUUGGAGAAACACUGGAGGGCAUGGCAUUCUUUUGUUCUACUUCUAACUCUGUGGGAAUGUGAUCUGUUAGAAACCUAUUCUGGCAAAAAGGAUAGUGGGCAGGAUCCCACCCUGAUCCUGUCACUCCACUGAACAAAAUGUAUCUUUUGUUAAUUCAUUUAUUAAACAAUUAUAUCUAACCUUUUAUUUUGGCUCACAUUUGAAGUCUUCCUCCAGUAUGAGGAAUCUUCUUGUAAUUUAAGUGGGUCUUCUGUUGGAAGAAAAGCCACUCAAGUUGGAGGAAAACUACUUAGAGGGUAGUUGGAUCUACCCUUGUCUCACUGUUUUCAGAGUCCUGUCAAACCUAACACUAAUGGUCAGGGAUAUUCCAAACACAUAUCUGUAGCAUUUGCACUAGCUCUAUAAAUUAGUAAGACAGUUACAUUUGGAUAUGAACAUAUUAAAACCUGGGCUAAAAAAAAUCUGUAUUUUAGAUCAUAAUAUUAUUACAACAAAUUCAAACAGAAAAAAAAUCAGCUGCCUGUCACUUCUAGGAAAUAUCCAGCUCUAUUAUUCUAGUGCAUUGUUGUUUGUUUUGAUGGUGGUCACAGGGGACCAAGAAGAUAAAAUGGAGGUUGGUGAAUGAGGCAAAGAAAGGGAAUAGGAUACAGGGCUUGCCAGGAAGAGGAAAUAGUGUGGGGAGGAGGAUACAGGGUAAAGUGAUAUGCUCCCUAUGUGUCCUUGAUGGCUUGAAGGGGACCUGGCCAGCAGCCAGCACUGCACAACUGGGCCAUAAUUUUCUUAGGUAGGGGCUGCCAGGAGGGAGCGGGGUGGGGAGGAGCUGAAGACAGAGGGGCAAAUAAAGAUAGGUUGAUUGUUGGGUGGCAAGAAGAGAAUGAACAGGAAAAGAGGAGUGCUAUUGGGGCUAUCAGAGAAGGAAAAGCAGAAAUAGUGGGGGAGAGGGCAAUGAGAUGGUCCUACGUCCCUGAGGGUUCCUAAUUGUACAUUCUAAUAGUGAAAGCGUAGCCACAUCUGUGGCUAUCAAAGCCUGCAGAUCAGGGUUAUAUGGAAAGAAAUCCCCGAAAAAUGGGAGGAAAGGAAGACGCCUAACCAGGGCCAGCAGCAGUGAUGGAAAGCGGGACCUCACUGGGUCUGCCAAGAACUGCUCUAGGCUCUUUUGCUGAGAGCUGUGCUGGUGGUGGUGGGGUUGUGAAAGAAGCCACAUUAGGCCCUGCAGCAGUGGUGACAGUGUGUGUGUGGGGGGGGGGACAGAAAAAAAGUGAUGGAAUGGGGGACAAAGAGAAAAAAAGCAUGUGGGGUAAAGGCAGAAAGGCUGAGAGAGUGAUGGGUGGGAGCAGAGACAGAAAAUGACAGGCUUGGGGGACAGGCAGAGAAACAGAAGAAGUGGCAGGAGGGAUAAGGAGACAGAGAAAUAGGGGAAGAGAGGAGGUAACAAAGGUGGGGGGGGGGAUGGGAUAGGCUCUCCCACAAGUUUCUUGCUUGUUUCUGAGAAGGAAAAACGCUAACAUUAAUAGUUUUAAAUUAAUUGUUUUAAUCAUUAAUAUAAGGAAAUCAAACCAAGUUUUUUAAAGACUUCUUUAAAAAAGACUUUUUUUGGCACAUAUAUAUGAAGAAUUGUUCUGUGGAAUAAAGAGUCACUCGUUAGAUAUAUCAGAUAGCUGCUGAGCUGCAGCCACAUUUUCCAGGACCCAAAGUUUGCAACCAAAGUUUGAUGCCCUAUGAGGUCUGAAAAACAGGACCAUAGUAACUGAAAGCCAAGGGCAGCCAUGGGAAAGAUGGGAAGUUGGAAUAUCAGGAAGAGGUAACUAUUAGCCAUUUCAGGGGGAUCUGAGCAUUGCUGUUUUAGUCUGACUUUUAUUACACCUAUAUUUAUAGCUUAAAACAUUAUAAGAUUCUUAUAUGCAAAUAGCCUGAAAUUUGGUCCUUUGGAUGAUGGUUAUAUUGCAUUUAACUAAGUAACCCAGCUACAAACUGAAUGAACCAUGAAUGGUGACAGAAUAAUAGACAAACAGGAUUCAGCAGUUGACUACUCAGCUUCAAAGCAUAAAAACCGUUCAUAAGUCUGAAUCCAAUAAUUUAAAUAAAACACAUCCAUUUCAACGCUAUACCAAAUCUGAUCUCUGUGGUCCCAGUGGGCCAAAUGACAUCCUGCCAUUUGGUUGGCUUAAACUUGCAGAUUGAAUCCAUCCGUAAUAGAUUUUGAGAAGUGUUCUGUUCUUUUAUUUCAGUGCAAUUUCUUUCAUUUAUAUGGUAAAUAAGUUAUUACGUCUCCUUCAAAGUACAGUAUGAGAUUUUAAAGGUCCACUGGACCUUUUAUAUACCAAUAUUUAUAAACUGUAGCAAAGUAAACAACACAAAACAGGACAUUUUCCAUGUUUGGAGAUGGAGUGGUGAGUAAUGCAUGAUUCUCUGGAGUUGGUGGAGUUGCUUUCCACAUAUCAUAGGCUCCUUAGCCUCUCAGGAAAAUACUGGAGAACUGAAAUAACAGCUUUUCUUACAGCAAAACCUGUAUCAAAUGAUGAUUUCUUCUAAGAACUUUUCUCAUGCGGAUUUCUUUGCUCUGGGAUGAUUUUGGUGCAGGGGACCAGGACAUCUUUGGGUAAUUAAUGGGUGCUGAUCCUUUCCACUCAAAAUUAUUGUUAUGGGAAACAGAGCUCCCAGUUUUCCCUCACCAAAAGAUCUUUUGGCCAUUGAAACGGCAGUUUCUUCAUCAUGAAAACGGAAGCGGAAUUGGAAGAUACAAAUUAAUACAUCCAAGUCACUUCCAGAAAUAGGUUUCAGAUUAAAUCCCUCUUAUUCUAUCAGUUUCUCUAAAAGUAACGCUUCUUAAAACCUAGUAAUUCAGCUUCACUCAUCUGUAGAACUGGCUGUCGGUUUCCCCUUUUAAUGCAUUUUUCUGGUUUUAAGAUGUAUCUGAUUUUAUGUUGAAAUAAACUAUGAAACCAUGAAACCACGAAUUGGCUUUUGGACAGCAGCAGAAAGAAGCAAACAGCAGAAAGAUCAUUAACUUAAAAGGAAAAAACAACAAUUGUUUGGGUUUGUUUGAAUAAUUAUUGAUGAGUCCCUUGGUAUUUUCAGAGCAAAAAGCAUGUCUGAAAAGUUUAAAAAAUAUGCAAUUGCUUCUAAUUAGUAACUAAGAGCAGAAGAGUUCUUUGACUAGCCCAAGGUCACCCAGCUGGCGUGUGUGGGAGUGCACAGGCUAAACUGAAUUCCCCAGAUAAGCCUGCACAACUCAGGUGGAAGAGCUGGGAAUCAAACCCAUUCCUCCAGAUUAGACACACGAGCUCUUAACCUCCUACGCCACUGCUGCAGCUCAGUUCCCAAAGUGUGUGGUGACAAGAAUGUAUCCAGUGUCCAGUAAAGCUGUAUAAACUGAAAUGUUAAACAAUACAACAAUAUAACAAUAAAUACCUUAACACUACAUUAAAACAAUUAGUCUAAAAGUGUUCUGCUUACAUUCUCUUUUGUCUACAUUCACUAUUCAACACACUCUGGAAUUA